rnacentral:rRNA from 1 species
AUUGAACGCUGGCGGCGGGCUUAACACAUGCAAGUCGAGCGAGCGGCGGACGGGUGAGUAAUGUCUGGGAAACUGCCUGAUGGAGGGGGUUACCUACUGGAACCGGUAGCUAAUACCGCAUAACAUCAGAUGUGCCCAGAUGGGAUUAGCUAGUAGGAGGGGUAAAGGCUCACCUAGGCGACGAUCCCUAGCUGGUUUGAGAGGAUGACCAGCCACACUGGAACUGAGACACGGUCCAGACUCCUACGGGAGGCGGAAGUGGGGAAUAUUGGAAAAUGGGCGCAGGCCUGAUGAAGCCAUGCCGCGUGUUUGAAAAAGGCCUUCGGGUUGUAAAGUACUUUCAGCGGGGAGGCGGUACCCGCAGAAGAAGCACCGGCUAACUCCGUGCCAGCAGCCGCGGUAAUUC